UGAAGAUGUCCCCACAGAUUAGGA
rnacentral:piRNA from 1 species